UCUAAGCUUCUUCUCUCUUUUAGAGCCGUCUGCUCCAAUCUCUCACGCGAGUCAAAAUCCACCUCACAAAUAACUGUGUUGCCGACCAUAACUUCCAAAACAAAGCCGACCCAGAAAACCACUUCUCAGACAACCGCAAAGCCACCAUCUUUGCUGCAGAACCAAGCUCAGAACCAAGAAAGAGGCGAGACGAAAGAAAGGGAGAACAGAACGGGGAAGAAGGAAGAGAAGGAGAAGAGACAGACUGGAAGCUCUUGAUUAAAAGAACACAAGUGGAAGGUGAUUGUUUUGAAUGACAGCGACAAAUUUUGUUUCCUGUUGUGACUAAACGUGGACGAAUGCUCUGCUUAUUUUGACCCUGCAACACUCAGAUCAAACUGCAUAAUUGUGCAGCUGACUCUGUGAGUUAGUUUCUCCUAACUUUCAUUCGGCAAAAUGAAAAAUUUUGGAUUAUAUGUAGUUUCUGAAAUGUGCAUAUAAUAUGAU